rnacentral:rRNA from 1 species
AUUGAACGCUGGCGGCAGGCCUAACACAUGCAAGUCGAGCGGAUGAAGGGAGCUUGCUCCUGGAUUCAGCGGCGGACGGGUGAGUAAUGCCUAGGAAUCUGCCUGGUAGUGGGGGAUAACGUCCGGAAACGGGCGCUAAUACCGCAUCCGUCCUGAGGGAGAAAGUGGGGGAUCUUCGGACCUCACGCUAUCAGAUGAGCCUAGUUCGGAUUAGCUAGUUGGUGGGGUAAAGGCCUACCAAGGCGACGAUCCGUAACUGGUCUGAGAGGAUGAUCAGUCACACUGGAACUGAGACACGGUCCAGACUCCUACGGGAGGCAGCAGUGGGGAAUAUUGGACAAUGGGCGAAAGCCUGAUCCAGCCAUGCCGCGUGUGUGAAGAAGGUCUUCGGAUUGUAAAGCACUUUAAGUUGGGAGGAAGGGCAGUAAGUUAAUACCUUGCUGUUUUGACGGUACCAACAGAAUAAGCACCGGCUAACUUCGUG